rnacentral:rRNA from 1 species
CAGUAGCCGCGGUAAUACGUAGGGUGCGAGCGUUAAUCGGAAUUACUGGGCUUAAAGCGUGCGCAGGCAGUUAUAUAAGACAGAUGUGAAAUCCCCGGGCUCAACCUGGGACCUGCAUUUGUGACUGUAUAGCUAGAGUACGGUAGAGGGUGAUGGAAUUCCGCGUGUAGCAGUGAAAUGCGUAGAUAUGCGGAGGAACACCGAUGGCGAAGGCAAUCCCCUGGACCUGUACUGACGCUCAUGCACGAAAGCGUGGGGAGCAAACAGGAUUAGAUACCCGCGUAGUCCCUGUCUCUUAUAC